GGGGAAUAUUGCACAAUGGAGGAAACUCUGAUGCAGCGACGCCGCGUGAGGGAAGAAGGUUUUCGGAUUGUAAACCUCUGUCUUCGGGGACGAAACAAAUGACGGUACUCGAGGAGGAAGCCACGGCUAACUACGUGCCAGCAGCCGCGGUAAUACGUAGGUGGCAAGCGUUGUCCGGAAUUACUGGGUGUAAAGGGAGCGCAGGCGGAACUGCAAGUUGGGUGUUUAAUCUACGGGCUCAACCCGUAUCAGCAUUCAAAACUGUGGUUCUUGAGUAAUGCAGAGGUAGGCGGAAUUCCCGGUGUAGCGGUGGAAUGCGUAGAUAUCGGGAGGAACACCAGUGGCGAAGGCGGCCUACUGGGCAUCAACUGACGCUGAGGCUCGAAAGCAUGGGUAGCAAAC
rnacentral:rRNA from 1 species